GACGUAGGGCGCGAGCGUUGUCCGGAUUUAUUGGGCGUAAAGAGCUCGUAGGCGGCUUGUUGCGUCGACUGUGAAAACCCGCGGCUUAACUGCGGGCUUGCAGUUGAUACGGGCAGGCUAGAGUUCGGUAGGGGAGACUGGAAUUCCUGGUGUAGCGGUGAAAUGCGUAGAUAUCGGGAGGAACACCAGUGGCGAAGGCGACUUCCUGGCCUGUUCUUGACGCUGAGGCGCGAAAGCUAGGGGAGCAAACGGG
rnacentral:rRNA from 1 species